CCCCUCGUAGCUCAACGGUAAAGCGCUUGGCUGUAGCCCGAGAAACCCCAGUUCGACUCUGGGCGAGGGGA
rnacentral:tRNA from 1 species